AUGGCGCCGGACCACGGCUCCAAGGUCGACAUCUCCUUCGCCGGCCGCUUCACCGCCAGCGCCAUCGCCGCCUGCUUCGCCGAGAUCACCACGAUCCCCCUCGACACGGCCAAGGUCAGGCUGCAGCUGCAGAAGAAGGCCAUCGCCGGGGAUCUCGCUGGGCCCAAGUACCGUGGCCUGCUCGGCACCGCCGCCACCAUCGCCAAGGAGGAAGGCGCCGCCGCGCUCUGGAAGGGCAUCGUCCCUGGCCUCCACCGCCAGUGCAUCUACGGCGGUCUCCGCAUUGGUCUCUAUGAGCCCGUCAAAUCCUUCUAUGUUGGUGAGAACCAUGUUGGGGAUGUACCUUUGUCCAAGAAGAUAGCCGCUGGCUUCACCACUGGUGCCCUUGCAAUCGCUGUGGCCAACCCCACUGACCUUGUCAAAGUCAGGCUUCAGUCUGAAGGGAAGCUGGCACCUGGUGUGCCGCGCCGUUAUACUGGGGCAAUGGAUGCUUAUGCCAAGAUUGUUAGGCAGGAAGGGGUUGCUGCUCUGUGGACUGGCAUUGGUCCGAAUGUUGCACGUAACGCCAUCAUAAACGCUGCUGAGUUGGCCAGUUAUGAUCAAGUGAAGCAGUCCAUUUUGAAACUUCCUGGGUUCAAAGAUGACGUGGUCACUCAUAUCUUGUCUGGUUUGGGCGCUGGCUUCUUUGCUGUUUGUGUUGGUUCUCCCGUCGAUGUGGUUAAGUCAAGAAUGAUGGGUGACUCUGCCUACAAGAACACUAUUGAUUGUUUUGUGAAGACCCUAAAGAAUGAUGGACCUCUGGCAUUUUACAAAGGCUUUCUUCCAAACUUUGCUAGACUGGGAUCAUGGAAUGUGAUCAUGUUCUUGACACUGGAGCAGGUUCAGAAGGCCUUUGUGAGAAAGCCUGCAAAUUAA
rnacentral:rRNA from 1 species